rnacentral:ncRNA from 1 species
UUUAAACUUUGUGAUGAUUUAAAGUUAAUUAAGACUAAACUUUUAGCAUGGUAAUUUUAGUAAACAAAAGAAAUAAUAUCCAAGAUUUUUUCUAACCCAGCAAGAAGCAUUAAACCAUAAUAGAAAUAAUAAUUUAAUUUAGUUUUAUAAAUCUAGACUAAUUAGGUGCCAGCAGUCGCGGUCACACCUAAUAGAUAAAUUAACUUUUUCAGACUAGCCAAAAAGAUAAAAAUUUUAUAUAUAAGUGAAAUUUUUAUAAUAAUGAAUUCUACUAUCUUAAAAUAUUUUGCUUAAUCUCUAACUAUAAACUAGGAUUAGAUACCCUAUUAUAUAGAGUAUAAAUUUCAGGUCUAAGCACUACGACUACAAAGUUAAAACUUAAAUCACAUGGCGGCUGUUAGAAACUUCAGGGGAACUUGCCGAAUUAAUGAUAAUCCUCAAAAUAACACUACUUCCAUUAUAAUAAUAGUUUGUAUAUCGCCGUCUUCAGUCUUCAUUUUAGAUGAAUUCAAAAUGUUAAAUUACAAAAAGACAGGUUCUGAUGCAGCCAAUAUGGAAGCCUUGGGUGAGUUACAGUAAAAAUUAUAAAUAUAGGAUUUCUUUGAAACCGAAGAAACAAAAAUGGACUUGAAAGUAAUUUAUAUAAUAAAUAUUGAUUGAAUAUAUAAAGCUAAUUGUGCACAAAUCGCCCGUCACUUUCGUUGAAAAAUGAAAUAAGUCGUAACAUAGUAGGUGUACUGGAAAGUGCACCUGUCUUUGU